AGAGAUUCGAGCUUUUCAGAUUCAUUUCCUGCAUUGGUCAUUACAGAAUAUUGAGUACAGUUCCCUGUGCUGUACAGGAGGCCCUGUUGGUUGUCUGUUCUGUAUACAGUGGGGGGUGUGUGUUCGUCCCAAGCUCCUAAUUCAUUCCCCCUUGCUGCAUCCAUUUCCCUUUCGAUAACUGUGAGUUUAUUUUCAAAAUUUGUGUGUCUGUUUGGAAACAUGUUCAUUUGUAUCAUUUUUGGAAAACCUCACAUAUGAGUGAUAUCAUAUCGUGUUUGUCUUUCUCUGGCUUAAUUUUCUCUGACAGAUGGACGGAUAAAGAAGAUGCGGCAUGUGGGAGCGGUAGAAUAUUACUCGGCCAUGAAAAAGAAUGGAGUGACGCCGCUUGCAGCAGCGUGGGUGCCCCAUGGUCUUUUCUUGAUCAGAUACGAUUUUUCUGUCUCACUCUAUGAUAAAUAGUUUUGUUUCUUCUUUAACACACAAAUCGUUCAGUGCAGGACACAAAGAUCAGCAGCUGUCAGAAGAAUAUCUACUCUCUAGGACUGAACUUUCUGAUCCCCUCACGCUAUUAAGGAAUGCCAGCUACACAGAUGGGUCUUAUUCCAAGCCCUGCAACUGGACUCUUGGGCUCCGUGAAACUGUAGAGACCCAUCUGGAUGGCUUGUGUAUGUCUCUAGUGAAAACCAAGCUCUGUAUCACUAUCCAUCACAGUAUAUUAUAACUCAGUCUGUCCUACCCAUGUGCCUGAGACUGUCUCAAUGUUGUUAAUUUUUCAGUUAAAAGAACGUGAGUCCACUGAACGCUCUUUUCUCACAGCUUCUUUCCUGCUUUGAAACCACACCUGUCCGCCAUUCCACAGUCAGCAGUCUAGAACAGCCCGCACUCCCCCAGAAACUCGCAGAAAGUCUUAGAAUCACUGGGCAUUCUUUCCUAAGGUGUGACUGUUGCGGCCGUUGCUUGUAGGUUCUGCUCCCCGGGCACAUCCAGAGUCUCCAAGCCGCUCAGUUCACUGGACAAUGAAAUCUUCAAAUUCUCAACAAAUCGCUCUACAAAUUGUCAUUUUUUAGCUCAGCUUUCCUGAGGUUUAAUCUCUAUAGGAUAAAAUGCACCUGUUUUAUAUAUUCUGUGAGUUUCGAAGACAGUGGAGCAGCAUGAGCAAAUUAUACUACUUUCAGCAAACUUCAGAAUAAAUAAACAGGCAGGACAGAAAGCGAAGAGGGACUAAACAGCCUCUUGAUGGAAGUGAAAGAGGAGAGUGAAAAGCUGGCUUAAAACUCAACAUUCAAAAAUGAAGAUCAUGGCAUCUGGUCCCAUCAUUCCAUGGCAAAUAGAUGGGGAAACAAUGAAAACAGCGACAGACUUUAUUUUCUUGGGCUCCAAAAUCACUGCAUGAAAUUAAAAGAUGUUUGCUCCUUGGAAGAAAAGCUAUGACCAACCUAGACAGCGUAUUAAAAAGCAGAGACAUUACUUGGCCAACAAAGGUCCGUCUAGUCAAGGCAAUGGUUUUUCUGGGAGUCAUGUAUGGAUGUGAGAGCUGGACUAUAAAGGAAGCUGAGCACUGAAGAACUGAUACUUUUGAACUGUGGUGUCGGAGAAGACUCUUGAGAGUCUCUUGGACUGCAAGGAGAUCUAGCCAGUCCAUCCUAAAGGACAUCAGUCCUGAAUAUUCUUUGGAAGAACUGAUGUUGAAGCUGGAACUCCAAUAUUUUGCCACCUGAUGUGAAGAACUGACUCACUGGAAAAGACUCUGGUGCUGGGAAAGAUUGAGGGCAUGAGGAGAAGGGGACAACAGAGGAUGAGAUGGUUGGAUGGCAUCACUGACUCAGUGGACAUGAGUUUGAGUAAGCUCUGGGAGUUGGUGAUGGACAGGGAAGCCUGGCGUGCUGUAGUCCAUGGGGUCACAAAGAGUCAGACAUGCCUGAGCGACUGAGCUGAACUGAACUGAGCCUUGGGUGUCUGACUACCUAGAUUCUAACCCUGGUUCAACUACCUAUAUGACCUAGAGCAAGUCUCCUAAUUUUCUGCCGCAACUUUCUUAUCCUUGUGAUGGAAAUAAUCACUGUAACCACCUCCUCUGGUGUUGACAAGGUGAAGUAUCGCAGUGCCUGCAAGAGGAAAGGUGACAGUUGGCGUUUUCGCCUCUGGAGGAGCAGUCCCUCUGACGUGUCUGCUUGGGUUUCAGGGCAGCUGCCCUCUGCUCUUCUGAGCCUGCAUCUUGUAAGCACCCAGGGGUGAACCUUCCGAGAUUCCACAUGUAAGCAACUUCACAUGAGAUCUGUCUUUGUCUGACUUCCUUCCCUUGCUUCCCUGAUGGCUCAGAUGGGAAAGAAUCCGCCUGCAAUGUGGAAGACCUGGGUUUGAUCCCUGGGUUGAGAAGAUCCCCUGGAGGAGGGCAUGGCAACGCACUCCAGGAUUCUUGCCUGGAGAAUCCCACGGACAGAGGAGCCUGGUGGGCUGCACUCAUGGGUCACAACGAGUCCGACCACGACUCAGUGACUGAGCACAGAUGGAGAAAACGAGAUUCAGAGAGGCUGAAUGAUGUCAUCAAGCCCACUCAGCUAUUUGACUGUGAAUUCAGAGCUCGACUUCAGAUCUCAGGAUCCCAGAUGGCUAUGCAGUUGUUGAGCCACCAGGACUGGGGCAGAGAGACAGAAGGAGAAGCAGGAAGCGUGGGUAUUGGGUACGAGUUUGAGAUGACGGGACCCUCUCUGGGCCUGGGAGGCAUUCACCGCUGACCCUCAUGCUGUCAGACACUUGGUGAGGUCUUCACAUUUCCUUUGCCGGGCCUUUCUGACUGCAACUCCGCUGACCCGACAGGUCUCCUUUGGCAGCAUCCCACCCCCUCACCACCCGCCCCCACCCCUGCUUCCAUCAGCCUGCUCCUCAUCCUCUGCCUGGCCGUCUUGGGAAGAAGCCUGACUGACUCCAGUCUGAUCACCUGCUCUGGGGUUUGUGCACCUUUAACCCGUGGUCCAAAAUCACCAUGGAUGGUGACUGCCGCCAUGAAAUUAAAAAGACGCUUGCUCCUGGGAAGAAAAGUUAGGACCAACCUAGAGAGCAUAUUCAAAAGCAGAGACAUUACUUUGCCCACGAAGGUCCAUCCAGGCAAAGCUCUGGUUUUUCCAGUAGUCAUAUAUGGAUGUGAGAGUUGGACUAUAAAGAAAGCUGAGCACCGAAGAAUUGAUGCUUUUGGACUGUGGUGUUUGAGAAG
ensembl:lncRNA